AGUUGCUGAGGCUGGUGUUUGCUUCCUGGAGGGCUGGUAUAGGAUCUCCUCUAUUUCCUAAGGGCCUUCACCGCCCUGUGCUACUCUGCAGACGGCCACAGCAUCCUGGCGGGAGGCAUGUCCAAGUUCGUGUGCAUCUACCACGUCCGUGAGCAGAUUCUCAUGAAGAGGUUCGAGAUCUCUUGCAACCUGUCUUUGGACGCCAUGGAGGUGAGCCGCCAGCGCGGGGCCGGAUGGAUGUUGCUUCCAAUGCAGGUGGAAUGCGUCGGGCUCCUGCGUUCUGCACUCCUGGCUCCAUGGGGCCUUGGGCACAGUUGUGGUGCUUGUCCUGUAUCUAAGUGCACGGGCCCCUCACCUGCCCCAGCAGAGUCCGGCCGUGAAGCCAGCACCUGCCUCAGCUGUGUGUGGAGCCACGGUCCCCAACCCUUUUGGCAUUUGGGACCGGUUUCGUGGAAGGCAAUUUUUCCACAGACAGGGUUGGGGGGAUUGAUUUUGGGAUGAAACUGUUUCACCUCAGAUCAAGAUCACCAGGCAUUAGAUUCUCAGAAG
rnacentral:lncRNA from 10 species